rnacentral:lncRNA from 1 species
UUUCUCUAGCUCCUCCAUUGGGGGCCGAGGUCAGCCUUUUAUAACAUUUAUCCCCCAUACUCUGGCUUUUACAUUAUUUCACCUGCCCUACCUUGAUAUUUCCUGCAUCUUAGUUCUGGGGCUGGGGGUAUUAAUUGAGAUGUUUCAUAGGGGGUGAAUACCAAAACCACAUAUUCUCAGUGUUGAGAAAAAUUAUAAGCUUAUGAAUCAGCUACUGAGUUCCAUAAUAAGAAACACCGCUAAGGUUGAAAAGCAACACAAAUCUAUAGAUAUAAACAUAAAUAUUUAGAAUGAGUCUUUACAAUAGGACUAUAUAAUGAAACAACAUCAAUAGCUUUAUUUCCUUACAACUUAUUUCUACCCUUACUAGAUGUUUUGGCCUUGAUUCCAGUACCAGUUAUGAAUUCAGUCCUGUGGAGCAGGCCUCACUUCUGGUGAAGACAGUGGUUAUUAAACACCAAAAGGGUCUUACUACUAUCGUACCAGUGGGUACAUCUUUCCUGGAAGACCAUUAAUUUAGAAUGUAUGCUCAAACUAUUGAAAAUACAAUUGAUGUAAUUUCUCCCUGACCAUCUUACCUGGCACUUUUCUAGCACUAAGAAAGCUAGCCAGCAUGAGGAGAGAGCUUCCUGGUAAGUUCAAGUUUGAUUUCUCUGUGUCCAGAAUUCAAAAUUUUUGGUGUCUUUCAUAGUAGGGUUUUAACCUAUUACAGUUAACAACCAAGAGCAUCAGCAGUUUAUUGGGUGCUGCCAUAGCCACAGAAGUCAAUAAUAAACACAGAGGUAUCUUGUGCUUGGGACUGAGGUUUUCAUUUCAGAAUCCAGCAUCGUUUGUUUGCCCAUGUGGACUACUCUGUCUAAAAUCUUUUACUCAGCUAAAGUAUGCUUUAGUUAGUUUUAUUAAUUAGUGUUUUUCAGAAGGCUUCUUCACACAUCCUUAAUUUUAGAAAAUUCCCCAUUCCUCCCACACUUUAUCCCAUCUCUCCUUAUACCUUUAAUGUCCUUAUUACUCCUUCCCUAAUUCUUUCAUGUCACAUGAGUCCCUUCUUUUAUAUAUAUAUUUAUUUCAGGUUGGCAGUCUUAAGUUCCAAUGUAGCUUCUUCAUGUAUGCUUCAUUUUGGUCAACUUUAACCUGAGAGUUAUAAGAUGAAACUUAAUGUGAUGAAUCUAUCAAUUUCUUACUACUUUUAAGGGAAAUUAUCAUAUGUCUUAUUUAUAGUUCACUGCUGGAAUUGAGACACUACAAUAACCCAGAGUAAUGUUCUCCGUAUACAUACACUGGUAUGAAGCAACUGUCAGGAUAUAGCAGUGGCCAUGAGACUCAGGAUGCUACAGAUAACCAAAUUCUACUGCUGCAGUACAUGUUCAGUAACUGAUUUUUGUCUUUCUCCUGUUGACAAACAAUUCUUCCGUCUGCUUAUCUUUACUGCCUGACUUUACAUAAUCUUUGAUUGAGUAUACAUUUUCCUUUGAAAUUGCAGAACUACCUAGAAAGGCGAUUAACACUAAGAGCAUUUUGAGAAAUGGGUCUUCUUCCAUGAUAGUGCUGUAGUAUUUGUAAUCUUUCUGAAAUAUCAUGGUGCUAUGUUUCUGCCUUUGUCAGCUAUUUGAAAACAUAACAGGGAUUUUAUAAAAGCUCUAUUUUCAAAUUUUUAAAAUUAUUUGGGACAUUGAGUAUAUCUGCAGCUGGAAAUAAUGUGCCCUGAAUUAUACUAGUAAGAAAUCAAGGGUAAUAUUUUUAAUGUACAUUAGAGAGCAUAUAAGAAAAUUAUUGCUAUUAUUAUGAACUAUCAAUAUUGAUCUGUAUCGUAAUAGGACAGAUAAUUUUAUUUUCUCUUAAUGGAGGGAGAAAGGAGCUGAUCUUCUCCAUUCACUGUAAAAAACUUCACUAGAACUGACAAGACUCAGUCAGUCUGGAAAAAUAUUUUCCCACCAUCAAGGCCUAUUACAAAUAAAAAUUACCAUCUGUUGUACUUAUUAUUUAAAAUAUUAUUAAAUGCAUAUUUAUAAAUACUGCAAAAUUUCAACAUUUUCACAGUCACUCAUGUGGUGGGAAAAGGUUAGAAUAUGUGUAAUUUAAGAAAAUAAUUCAAUCAACUUUUUUUAUUGAAAAUUCAUGCUGUACAUGUUUUCACCAAGUCCAUCCUCAUUUUAUUGUUCCAGUUUUUCUCUAUCUUCCCUAUUAUAUUUCACUCCCAAGCUUAUGUGAUCUUUUUUAUUUUAAACUCACAGGGACACUCAGUACUGACCGUAUUACACGGGUUUAGGACUGUCUACUAGAGUGUGCGUCCUUUCAAGGCCGGCUUCCUUGAUAAAGCUUACUCCUCCCACAGCAACCAACUCUGAAUGCAGAUUUUGCUUAUCUUUAUACAGCAGCCGAAAGUUAUUCACCAGGUUCAACUAUAAAAACUACUGCUUUUUAUUCAUGGAAAGUGGUAGAAAAUCUAAGUAUUAUGUUCUCUGGUUGUUGUUUUUGUUGUUCUUGUGACCAAUCUAUAAAACCUUUUUUUCUUACAUUUUUAAAUCUGUGAAAGAAACACACGUUUCCCCUCCUGGUCUCUUUACUGGUGUAUCCUUGGCACGGUGUGUGCUUAAUGUUGUUUCCUAAAAUAUGAGGUUCUGUUUACACACUGCAGAGCUUCUCUUUGUGUUCAGCAAUUGAACAAAUAUGAGUCUUAAAGUCCAAAAUGUAUGCAGAUCUCUACCUUCACCUCAUCACCACUCAGAAAAUCAAAUAGAUUUCUAUUAGUAUUCAGAAACUUCUGAGAGAGAGACACAGGUGUCAGGCAGAUGGAGAUCAAAGUCAUGGUUUUAUUGCUGGAAGAUUCUGCAUGGGAAGGCAGGCAUUAUGCAUGCAGAUACAAUCAACUUCAUCUAUAAAUUAGUAUGUCUACCCAGCUCUGGCACACGUGGACAUUAUCAGGUCUUCACCACACAAGAACGGAUAAAACAGGUUUGAACCCAUCUCUAUCGUCAGCAUAGACAGAUCUCAACUGAGUGAAAG